AUGCAGCCAUGCCGCGUGUGUGAAGAAGGACCUUCGGGUUGUAAAGCACUUUCAGUAGGGAGGAAGGUAGUGUAGUUAACAACCUGCAUAUUUGACGUUACCUACACGAAGAAGCACCGGCUAACUCCGUGCCAGCAGCCGCGGUAAUACGGAGGGUGCGAGCGUUAAUCGGAAUUACUGGGCGUAAAGCGCAUGCAGGCGGCCUGUUAAGUCAGAUGUGAAAGCCCGGGGCUUAACCUCGGAAUUGCAUUUGAAACUGGCAGGCUAGAGUCUUGUAGAGGGGGGUAGGAAUUUCAGGUGUAGCGGUGAAAUGCGUAGAGAUCUGAAGGAAUACCAGUGGCGAAGGCGGCCCCCUGGACAAAGACUGACGCUCAGAUGCGAAAGCGUGGGGAGCAAACAGGAUUAGAUACCCCUGGUAG
rnacentral:rRNA from 1 species